rnacentral:misc_RNA from 1 species
CUAAGGAAUACGUCUCCUGCGACGGAGACAUACAGGAAGCACAAGCUUCCAUACACAAACAUCACUCGUUGUCAGUUUUGAGAGAGCAGCGAUGUUCUUUCAAAUGUCUGAUUUUUCCUGCCGCUUUGUUCGUAAGAAAAAAAGGCAACGAAAAAAUCAUUGUACCUUGAAAACUGAAUCGCGAAAGUAAAGCUUAGAAUCAUCCUUUAAUUUUAAAUAGGAGUUAAAAAGUUUACUUUUCAGCACCGAGAAGCUUGCUUGAAGCUGAAGAAAGAGGAGCGCAGUGUAGUUGAGACUACAUGAGCACCGGAUUUCGAAGCUGAAGGCAAGAUUCGAUGCCGAAUAACCCCUUGAGAUCCUUCGUGAUCAAAAGGAAACUUUUUAACAACCUAACUA